CUGGUGGGAUAGUGGGCUGUAUAUCUGGUGGGAUAGUGGGCUGUAUAUCUGGUGGGAUAGUGGGCUGUAUAUCUGGUGGGAUAGUGGGCUGUAUAUCUGGUGAGAUAGUGGGCUGUAUAUUUGGUAGUCUUGGUGGGAUAGUGGGCUGUAUAUCUGGUGGAAUAGUGGGCUGUAUAUCUGGUGGGAUAGUUGGGCUGUAUAUCUGGUGGGAUAGUGGGCUGUAUAUCUGGUGGGAUAGUGGGCUGUAUAUCUGGUGGGAUAGUGG